UAUUACACUUAAAAAUAGAACUGAUAAAAAUGGAGUCAGUGGAGUUGAACGGGGAAGAAGCAUCCUAAGAUGAAAUGGUAUCUUGCUGAUCUGGAUCUCACCAAUCAAACUAGACUGGCUGAGCAGUGAGUUCCAGGAAUUUACCUGAUAGGUAUUAUAAUUUCUUGUAUAUUUGCUCGGGUUUAGGAAAUCAUAUUCAGGUCGUCUUGGCUGGAACAGAAGCACU
rnacentral:lncRNA from 1 species